rnacentral:tRNA from 1 species
GUGGAUAUGGUUCAGUGGUAGAACGCUAGCUUCCCAAGCUAGAGAUGCGGGUCCGAUUCCCGUUAUCCGCU